AUUGAACGCUGGCGGCAUGCCUUACACAUGCAAGUCGAACGGUAACAGGUCUUCGGAUGCUGACGAGUGGCGAACGGGUGAGUAAUACAUCGGAACGUGCCUAGUAGUGGGGGAUAACUACUCGAAAGAGUGGCUAAUACCGCAUGAGAUCUACGGAUGAAAGCAGGGGAUCGCAAGACCUUGUGCUACUAGAGCGGCCGAUGGCAGAUUAGGUAGUUGGUGGGAUAAAAGCUUACCAAGCCGACGACCUGUAGCUGGUCUGAGAGGACGAUCAGCCACACUGGGACUGAGACACGGCCCAGACGCCUACGGGAGGCAGCAGUGGGGAAUUUUGGACAAUGGGCGCAAGCCUGAUCCAGCAAUGCCGCGUGCAGGAUGAAGGCCUUCGGGUUGUAAACUGCUUUUGUACGGAACGAAAAGCCCUGGGUUAAUACCCUGGGGUCAUGACGGUACCGUAAGAAUAAGCACCGGCUAACUACGUGCCAGCCGCCGCGGUAAGAC
rnacentral:rRNA from 1 species